CGAAUUUCAAUUGCAAUGAAAAAGGAAACUGGCAAUGCAAUCGUGCAAACCCUGUCCGCUAUCUCUAUUCUAAACAUCUCAAUCCUUCCCUUGAAUUCUCGCACCCAACCCCUGCCCUGUGACGAUGUGGUCUGUUGUCGACUAUCGAUGCCUAGCUUCUUCGGUCUUCACCACUGGCCUUCGCUGUUGUGAGGUAGUGAAUUUACUGCCUCUAUUUUUUAUUUUUUUUCUUUUGUGUGGUUUUUGUUCUUUUAGAGUUUAGUUCAUUUUUUUUAUUUAUCAUUUAUGAUUUAUUCUUUAUGAGUUUUUUAUUUUUUUUACAUUUUAUGUUGACUGGUCAAAAAAGAAGGUUACUGUACCUCCCAAAAUUUUAAAUUUCUGUUUGAGUUCUGUGAGAAUUUUUUGUACGAGAGGCAUAAGUCAUAUUUUUAUCGUUGCGUCAAUCGAAACCCUUUGGACAAAGUGGCAUAAUCCAUUUUUUUAUCUCCAACUUUUUCAUGUUAGCCUAUGUUUGGCUCUUGCACUUCAUCCCAUAAAUUUCCAGCCAACUCUAAAUUUAUGCCACUGUGACGAUGUGGUCUGUUGUCGACUAUCGAUGCCUAGCUUCUUCGGUCUUCACCACUGGCCUUCGCUGUUGUGAGGUAGUGAAUUUACUGCCUCUAUUUUUUUUUUUUUUCUUUUGUGUGGUUUUUGUUCUUUUAGAGUUUAGUUCAUUUUUUUUAUUUAUCAUUUAUGAUUUAUUCUUUAUGAGUUAUGGAUGUGUUUUUGAGAUUGUUGACUAUGGGGAUUUAGAUUUUUGAGAAUUGGGGAUUUUGUGAAUUCGAGAAUAUUUGAUAUACAUGGACAGUGAAUAUGAUUUGUAAUAAAUGACAAUGAUAAAUUGAAGAAUUUGUAUGAUAAAUAAUAAGUUGUUGGAAAUUGGAAACUUAAACUUGGUGAUGUUUUAUUUGUGAUUUACUUUUAUGAAAAUUGGGAGUUUAUAUUUUAGGCAUUUACAUAUAUAUUGAAUAAUUUUUAAUAUUUUUUUAAUUAAAUAUUAAUAAACAAUCUUGAUAUUACGACUGUUGAUUACCAACAGUCAACGAUCAACGGUUGCACUAUCUGAAUCCUAUUGUGGCUGCAUGUGCAGCACCUUAAGAAAGGGA
rnacentral:lncRNA from 1 species